ACCAGCUUGAAACUCAAAAGACUUGACAGUAUCUCACACACACCUAGAGGAGCCUGUCCUAUAAUCGAUAACCCACGAUAAACCUUACCUGCUCUUGAACUGAUCAGCCUAUAUACCUCCGUCGCCAGUCCGCCUGCCAACAGAUGCCAAAGCGCAUACAACAGCCCUAUCACUCACACGACAGGUCAAGGUGUAGCUAAUGGGCUCAGGGAGAGAUGGGCUACAUUUUCUCCGUUAGAAAACACCAAAGAUGCAAUGAAAUAUGGCUCGUAAGGCGGAUUUAGCAGUAAGCAGGGCUAGAUAAGCCCUCCUGAAGCCUUCCAUGAGAUGUGUACACACCGCCCGUCACCCUCCUCACAGACACAUAAACGUAACUAACCCCCAAUAAAAUAAAGAUGAGGUAAGUCGUAACACGGUAAGCGUACCGGAAGGUGCGCUUGGCUAGUCUCAAGGUGGCUUAAAAUUAAAGCGUUAGGUUUACAACCUAG
rnacentral:rRNA from 1 species